ACGUAGGGUGCAAGCGUUAAUCGGAAUUACUGGGCGUAAAGCGUGCGCAGGCGGUUCGUUGUGUCGGCGGUGAAAGCCCCGGGCUCAACCUGGGAAUGGCCGUUGAAACUGGCGAACUGGAGUGUGGCAGAGGGGGGUGGAAUUCCGCGUGUAGCAGUGAAAUGCGUAGAGAUGCGGAGGAACACCGAUGGCGAAGGCAGCCCGCUGGGCUGUGGCUGACGCUGAGGCGCGACAGCGUGGGGAGCAAACAGGG
rnacentral:rRNA from 1 species